rnacentral:rRNA from 1 species
GAUGAACGCUGACAGAAUGCUUAACACAUGCAAGUCUUUGGCGAAGCUGUGCUUGCACAGCCUAGCCAAGUCGGACGGGUGAGUAACGCGUCAGGAACUUGCCCUGCAGUCAGGGAUAACAGACGGAAACGACUGAUAAGACCUGGUAAAGUCAGGCGGACUCAUGUCCAGCCUGAUGAAAAGAGAUGCUGCAGGAGAGCCUUGCGUCCUAUUAGCUUGUUGGUGGGGUAACGGCCCACCAAGGCGAUGAUAGGUAGCCGGCCUGAGAGGGUGGACGGCCACAAGGGGACUGAGAUACGGCACUUACUCCUACGGGAGGCAGCAGUGGGGAAUAUUGGACAAUGGGGGCAACCCUGAUCCAGCAAUUCGGUGUGCACGAUGAAGGUUUUCGGAUUGUAAAGUGCUUUCAGCAGGGAAGAAAAAAAUGACGGUACCUGCAGAAGAAGCGACGGCUAAAUACGUG